rnacentral:rRNA from 1 species
GAUGAACGCUGGCGGCGUGCCUAAUACAUGCAAGUCGAGCGAACGGACGAGAAGCUUUCUUCUCUGAUGUUAGCGGCGGACGGGUGAGUAACACGUGGAUAACCUACCUAUAAGACUGGGAUAACUUCGGGAAACCGGAGCUAAUACCGGAUAAUAUUUUGAACCGCAUGGUUCAAAAGUGAAAGACGGUCUUGCUGUCACUUAUAGAUGGAUCCGCGCUGCAUUAGCUAGUUGGUAAGGUAACGGCUUACCAAGGCAACGAUGCAUAGCCGACCUGAGAGGGUGAUCGGCCACACUGGAACUGAGACACGGUCCAGACUCCUACGGGAGGCAGCAGUAGGGAAUCUUCCGCAAUGGGCGAAAGCCUGACGGAGCAACGACGCGUGAGUGAUGAAGGUCUUCGGAUCGUAAAACUCUGUUAUUAGGGAAGAACAUAUGUGUAAGUAACUGUGCACAUCUUGACGGUACCUAAUCAGAAAGCAACGGCUAACUACGUG